AACGCACGAGACCUGCGGACCUGCGGAAGGAUCGUUAAUGAGAAGCUGCCCCUCGUGGGUAGACCUCCCACCCUCUGUGAACUUACCUUUGUUGCUUUGGCAGGCCCGUCCUCUGGACCGCCGGCUUCGGCUGGCCCGUGCCUGCCAGAGGAUUCCAAACCCUGUCUGUCAGUGUUGUCUGAGUCUAUAUGAAAUCGUUAAAACUUUCAACAACGGAUCUCUAGAUCGGAAGAGCACACG
rnacentral:misc_RNA from 1 species